rnacentral:lncRNA from 12 species
GGCCUGAGCGUCUUCUGUGAGGAAUCCAUCCAACCCAACAGAGAGACACCCUGAAGCCGAGUCCCCCACUUGGUGCAGGGGGCUCAGUGUUCAGCCUUAAGCGCAAGGUGAGGAUCACGUGGGCGUCGGUGGAGCAGACCUGGGAGACCUGGGUCCAAGGAGACACCACCGUGCGGGUUCAUCCAGUGCCAGGACAGGCUGCUCUCAAGGCCCCAUUCUGGUCUCAUCUGAACAAUUUGGGAGAAGGCUGCAGGCACCCAGAGAGGACAGGCUCCAACCCGCCCCAGGAGUGAUGCCUGAGACCAAGGGGAAAGAUGGACAGUGGAUAUUCUGGGCGAGGCAGAGAGCACCACACAGCCCUAGGGUUCCUGUGCUGGUGUGCACUGCAGCUCCAGCUUCGCAGAAUUGCCAAGGAGACCGUGAGCAACCCCACACAGGAUGGUCUCAUCCCGGCUUACACCCCACAGUGCACAUGCAGAGCACAUAUAUGAAGAAUGAAUACACGAAGCCACCAGGAACUCACUCUAUCUGGAUGAGGCUGAAACUUCAGGCUACCUGGCUAAUCAGAGCAUUCCACGGCCUUGAGCUCAGUGAUUGGGCCUGAGGCAGUCACAUGAUCCACAUCAGCCAAUGAGAGGAAGACCUGGGAUUCUUGGCAGAGUUACCAGGAGAGAAAUGCUGCUUUUUCAUGGGGAUUACCUAGCGGUAGAACAUAAGCCUGGAACCAUCAGUGCCCAUCUUCGAGGCUUUCUGCGGGAAGCUCCUGUCUGUGAAUGAAGCCAGAACCAAAGAGAGCAAAGCCAAAAGUUAGAAAUGCAUAUGUAUGCAAGGGUGGUAUUGGAGUCCCUGGACCCAGCCAGGUCUGAAGCCAGCACUACUCCUGGGUUUUUCAGCUACAUGAGCCAAAAAAAAUGUCUGUUUUGAGUAAGCCACUUUGAAUUAGGUUUCUGUCAUUUCCAAAUUAAGUCACCAGGUGUGAGAAUCUUUUUCUAUCUAAAAAAUCACAUUAGGAAAAAAGAGCUUAACAAAGUGGUAAUAGUGGCAGUCACCCACAGACAGCCCUGGGGGCUUGUGGUACAGGGCUGGG